AAAAAUUUAAUCUGAUUUGAUUUAUUAGGGGUUAGUGGAGUAGACGAGUUGACUCAUUUAAUUACACUUUUUUUAAUCUAAAAAAAUUAAAAAAACAUUAAAGAAACAUUUUUGUUGUUGUCAUGGAAAGAUAUGUGUUGUCAUCAUUAAAAACAAUAUACUUAUUGUUACCACAAAAAACAAAAACACACAAGGGAUUGGGUUUUAACAUUCACA
rnacentral:lncRNA from 1 species